UGUCGAGAACACCGCCCGUGGCCCUGGACACGGCAUCAACAUUGGAAGCCUUGGACACUACGAUUCAGAGGCAGAUGUUUUCGGAAUCACCUUGAGGAACUGCACGUUGACAGAUACAGACAACGGUGCAAGAAUCAUAACUUACAAAAACAAUAAUCCAAGCAAAGCUCAGGCAUUAUUUUCGAAGAUCUGGUAAUGAAAAACGUCAAGAACCCCAUCCUCAUAGAUCAAGAAUACGGAAAUCAAGGCGACAGUGAGACUUCGAAAGUGAGCAUUAGCGACGUUCAAUUCACAAACAUCAAAGGAACUUCAGCAAGCAAAGUUGCAGUACAACUGAUUUGCAGCAAAACAGAUCCAUGCCAAGGCGUUUCAGUUAAAGAUAUAGACUUACAGUUAGCAGGUACGAAAGAGGCUAACAUUCCCUUCAGCUCCAACUGCACCAACGUCAAAGUUACC